GACGAACGCUGGCGGCGUGCUUAACACAUGCAAGUCGAACGGAAAGGCCCUGCUUGCAUGGUACUCGAGUGGCCAACGGGUGAGUAACACGUGGGUGAUCUGGCCUGCACUUCUGGAUGAGGCUGGGAAACUGGGUCUAAUACCAGAUAUGACCUUCCAGGUAGUGUUGGGGGUGGAAAGAUUUAUCGGUGUGGGAUAGGCCCGCGGCCUAUCUGCUUGUUGGUGGGGUAAUGGGCUACCAAGGCGUCGACGGGUAGCCGGCCUGAGAGGGUGGACGGCCACAUUGGGACUGCGAGACGGACCAGACUCCUACGGGAGGCAGCAGUGGGGAAUAUUGCACAAUGAGACGGAGCCUGAUGCAGCGACGCCGCGUGGGGGAUGACGGCCUUUGGGUUGAAAACAUCUUUCGACAGAGACGAAGCUGCGGUGACGGUACCUAUAGAAGAAGCACCGGCUAACUACGUG
rnacentral:rRNA from 1 species